rnacentral:rRNA from 1 species
CAGUAGCCGCGGUAAUACGUAGGUGGCAAGCGUUGUCCGGAAUUAUUGGGCGUAAAGCGCGCGCAGGCGGAUAGGUCAGUCUGUCUUAAAAGUUCGGGGCUUAACCCCGUGAUGGGAUGGAAACUGCCAAUCUAGAGUAUCGGAGAGGAAAGUGGAAUUCCUAGUGUAGCGGUGAAAUGCGUAGAUAUUAGGAAGAACACCAGUGGCGAAGGCGACUUUCUGGACGAAAACUGACGCUGAGGCGCGAAAGCCAGGGGAGCGAACGGGAUUAGAGACCCGCGUAGUCCCUGUCUCUUAUACC